UCAAGCAGCAACAAAGAGUUCACUGAAUGAAAUGUGACAAGGUGUUGUACCCCCCACCCCCAACACACACAGACCCCUCUCUAUCUUCUGGGAACACUAAUAGGCUCCCUGCAGAGUAAUGUGACCAAUCAUCUGGCCCCGGAGCUUAGUGCUGCACAUGGCGGUGGAGACUCCAUCAGAGCACUGAGACCAGAUCCAAGGCUCUGAAACGUCACCUUCUCUACUUCUUCAUUAGAACUCAUUAUGGAACUUUAAACCUUAUCCUCUAAGGACCCAGUUUCCUUUUCUUUUCUUCUUCAGAGCAGAGUUCAGACUUAUAGUGAGGUGAACAGGUCUGAGACACUCCAGAGAGAAUUGCUCCUCCUUCACUUUUUCACUGAGACGAAAGAGAACAGGCAAUGGUGAGGAGUGCAGCAGCUCAGGAGGGGGGGUUUCCUGCUUGAUGGCCUUAAAGACGAUUAUUUUCAGUUUCUCUGCUUGAGAUCUACCUACAACUAUGACAACCAAAUCCAACAGCAAUGUUUCAGCUGGCAAAGCUUUGUCAUCUCCUCUUUUGUCCUCUGAUCCUCGUCAACGCUUAGUCACAAAAGAUGGACGCUGUGCACUCAGUCUCCCCCCCUGCCCCUCUGACUCAUGGCAUGGGAGCUGGAGCAGGGUCUGGCUGCUGGCCCUGCAGGAUGUGUGGGGAUUAUUAGUGAGUCUGCGCUGGAGAUGGGUCCUCCUCGCAUUCUGUGCCUCCUUUAUUGCCCAUUGGCUGCUGUUUGCCUGCUUGUGGUACUUACUGGCCCAUCUCAACGGAGACCUUGCUGUGCAAGAUCACGAUCACCCUCCACAGGAUCACGUAGUUUGUGUGAAACACAUUACAAGUUUCACUGCAGCCUUUUCCUUUUCUCUGGAGACGCAGUUGACCAUCGGCUACGGCACGAUGUUCCCCAGUGGAGACUGUCCCAGUGCCAUAGCACUUCUUGCUGUGCAGAUGCUGCUGGGCCUCAUGCUGGAAGCAUUCAUCACAGGUGCAUUCGUAGCUAAGAUUGCACGACCUCAGAAGCGAGCCGGAGCCAUCCAGUUCAGCCCACAGGCAGUGGUGGGCAAACACCAGGGUCAGACAUGUCUCAUGAUACGAGUGUCCAACCUGAUGCAUCAGCCUUUGGUCCACGUGAAGGUGAGUGCUGUUCUUUAUGAAGAGCACGAAGGUCAAGCACUGUACCAGACCUCKCUGGACUUCUUCUUGGAUGAUUUGGGCCAGCACCCAUGUCCGUUUUUUAUUUUCCCACUAACUUUUUAUCACAUAUUGGACCGCCGGAGCCCCCUUUACUCUAUCCUGUAUGAAAGCACUUCCAGCCACUUUGAGUUGGUGGUCUUCCUUACAGCCAUGCAGGAGGGAACUGGGGACUCCUGCCAGAAGAGGACCUCCUACCUCCGCCAAGAAAUUCAGUUUGAUCGAGGAUUUCUGCCUGCUCUGGGUCUAGAUGCUCAAGGGCAGUACCUGGUGAGCACUCAGCAGUUUGACACGGCCCACUCUAAGGAGCCCUUGAACAAGGACUGUGUUGUCCAGAUUAACGGAGAUGGCAGCGAUAGGAUGGAGUGAGCAUGGGCGUAACCGCCAUAGGCACCGGGUGGGACAUGUCCCCCCCACUUCCAGUAUCUGUGCCCUCUGCCCCCCCCCCCUUUCAGCCGAAGCAGAAAAAAAGACCUUUAAAAAAUGUGUGUGUGUGUCUCCCCCCCCAGUUUUAAGAUGGUGAUUACGCCCUUGGGAGUGAGCAUGAGAAAUGAGAGCUGUUCCAGCACCAGGACUCUUCAGGUCCAUCUCCAUGAUCUUGAACCAUCUGACCACUGGAGAUUUUUGUCCUGCCUUUAUGACAAAACUGCUGUAGCUCCUUCAGGUUGGAUGGGUGCUGUAAACUUUGACUCAUACAGAGAUUCUCAGUUGGACUGAGCUCAGGAUUUUGACUGGACCAUUUCAACACCUUUAACUGGUUCUUCUUAAAACAGUGAAAUUUAGCAAUGUGUUUAAGAUGGUGGUCCUAAUUUUUUGGACUGUACUUAUACAGCACCUUUCUAUCCAUCCAGGACACUCCAAGCGCUUUACACUAACAGACAUUCACCCAU